AGAAUGAAGAUGGCUUCCUGUCCCGCUAGCGUCACGUCGGGAUCUGCCUUCACCAAGGCCUUCACUCGCGCCAGAGGCAACCUCGAGAGACGAGCCCCAGGCACACUCGUUGGGGCCUGGGGCUGCGAGGCCGCUGCCUCCCCAGCAGGUCCCAGGCCUAAAGAGCAACCAUACUGUGGGACAUUCUCUUCUCAUGGCAGACAGCAGAAGAUCAAGAGGGACGAACCAAAAUAUGCCUUGUCUCAUAACCUUGUGCUUAGAACUGGCACUUUGUCGCUUCCACCCAUGUUCCACGGAUCAAAGCAACAAUUAAGGCCAAGCCCCACAUCAGUGGAGCAGGGGUGCACGUGUCCCUUCAGGGAGAAUGGGCCAUUAUAACUACAUUCUUAGAAUGUGAUCCCUUUCAACAUUUCCUGCACCUCUGCUUCUGCACACUACCACCAAAAGACAAGAAAGGCAAGGAGACGUGACUGGAGCAAGAAAAACAGUGUUUUUCACACAAGGAUGUCCACUCCUUGUUGGGAAUGGCUUAAGAUCGACCUGGGAAAGCAAAACAUCGCCAUAUCAUUUGGAGGAAAGGCACUGGUUGGAAGAGCCUGUUGGCGUGGCAAAGCCAAGGUCUUUAAAGUCCUCAGAGAAGGCAGGCAUAGCCACCACUGGAGGACUUCCUGAUAUGUGGUACAGAGACUGAUGAGGGCAUGGGGUGACAACCUUAGGUGCCAACAGCAAGGGGAUGGAUAUACAGGGUAAAGGAGGCUUGCUGCCAUCCUACGCCUUUGAACGCCACAAAUCAGAGAUGGUACCAUGGAGGAACAUGAACAGGACUCAGGCACAAGAUUUCACAUUGCUGGGAAUCCAUUUUCAGUCUUUGAAAAGACACAGUGAUUCUUCAGGAAGUUUGUUAUCCCAAAGAUGCAACA
rnacentral:lncRNA from 10 species